CCUACGGGUGGCUGCAGUGGGGAAUAUUGGACAAUGGGGGCAACCCUGAUCCAGCCAUGCCGCGUGUGUGAAGAAGGCCCUCGGGUUGUAAAGCACUUUCAGUGAGGAAGAACGCCUGGUGGUUAAUACCCAUCAGGAAAGACAUCACUCACAGAAGAAGCACCGGCUAACUCCGUGCCAGCAGCCGCGGUAAUACGGAGGGUGCGAGCGUUAAUCGGAAUUACUGGGCGUAAAGCGCGCGUAGGUGGCUUGAUAAGCCGGUUGUGAAAGCCCCGGGCUCAACCUGGGAACGGCAUCCGGAACUGUCAAGCUAGAGUGCAGGAGAGGAAGGUAGAAUUCCCGGUGUAGCGGUGAAAUGCGUAGAGAUCGGGAGGAAUACCAGUGGCGAAGGCGGCCUUCUGGACUGACACUGACACUGAGGUGCGAAAGCGUGGGUAGCGAACAGGAUUAGAUACCCUGGUAGUC
rnacentral:rRNA from 1 species